GCCCAGAUGGCGGAAUAGGUAGACGCGUUGGUCUCAAACACCAAUAGGAUAAAACCUGUACCGGUUCGAUUCCGGUUCUGGGCA
rnacentral:tRNA from 1 species